ensembl:lncRNA
CCGGCUGUGGAGGCGAUCUGACACAGAUUAUGGAGCAGUAACUACUCACACCUACGAAAACACAAGCGAGGACCUGACAGGAAACCAGAGGGGGGAGCCAGAUCCCCGGUGAAAGAACUCCUGCCCCUCUGCGCGGACAAGUGAGACGGUUUGGGCUCCGAUUCACGCCGCAAACGGCGCACACAGCGACAGCGACGGAGCACCGGCCGGCACCGGCUUCUCGAAGCGUUGGCGUUAUACAGGGAGCAGGCGUGUUCCUCUGCUGGCUGAAAGGAAUCCCUUCUUUGGAAGAGUGCGUCGAGUGUAACGGUCCCCACCGAGCCCGACAGGUGCUCAGCUGCUGAUGAAGUGAAUUUCAUUUGAAACACAUAAUAAAUUCACCGUUUAAAGGUUAUAUUCUCACUCCAUUCGUUGUAUCGGAGCGGAGUCUGGGUGAAGGCUGCGUUUACUGACACAAGCGCCUGGGAGCUCUCCAGCGUAAACACCGUCUCCUCCGUCCCACCAGUUGGGGAUAAAGUUUCCAAG